GGAAAAGAAAUUAAGCAAACUCUUCUCAUUUGGAGCUGCAUAUAAUAGCAGAAAGAUCAUGAUCUCAUAACUGUUACUUGGAUGUCUUGAUAACAUUAUUUUGUUCUCUUAAUCCCAAUUUAGUCCCAUUUGUCUCGUAAAUUAAACUGAAAUCUCAUUCUCAAGGAACUUUUAGAGUUAGUGAAACUGUACUAUUUUGCAACUGAAUGCAUUCAUGCAUAUUUAUAACGUACUGGAAUUUGCUCUUUCUUUGCAGAAAGUGGUGGCUCUGACGCCAAAAGUGCGGCCAGCGAGGGAUGUUGGCCAAGAGUGCUCCUGUCCUCCAGGGCCUCCAGGAAAACGUGGAAGGAUGGGAAGAAGAGGGGAACCUGGUAAGUAAUGCCCAUCAAAUCAUUUAACGGUUUAUUUUUCCUUUUAACCUCUUUUCCUGGAAGACACACACUUUGUUUUUUUCUUCAUCGCACUCACACACCGUCCCUCUUUUUCCUGUGUGACUGGGUAAGUUCGAGGCGAGGGCCCAGCAAAGGCAGUGAUCCAUGAGUCAAGCCACUGGAUGAUGGGCUUCAGUUGGCCCCUCUCCCUGUCCCUUUCCAUUUGCGCCGACAUAGUGCUAACUCUGGCCAUGUGGUUCCACUAACUUUGCCCAGAUGUCAGUCGUUCUUGCUGAGCGGUAGCAGCUGCUGUAGUACGAGCCUAAUGAGUUUGCCUCGCCAACAUCGCUACCCACCAUUAUGGUGCUGCUUUUUCAAUCGAUCCAAACCACAAAAACACUCCAUGAGGAACCAAAACAGAGCAAGGACAUAAGUCUUGUUUCACAAAUGUCAUCGUGAAAGAUGAAGCGGAUGUUGUACAAGUCUCACUCAUCCCGAUUUUUAAAUGUUUCUUAUUAAAAGUGGGCUCCACGACAGUAUUAGGCAAUUUUAUCAAAACCUGCAGGAUAUGUGUCACUGUCGUAAAAUUUCCGUUGUGGUUGUGAAUCACUGAGGUGGAUGUUUACAGAUGGGAUCUCUUCUUGUGAACACGGUGACUAAGUGAAAGAUCAUCAGUGAUCUCUUUCUGCUUGUCUGCUUACUUGAUUUUAUCUGAUGAAACGUCCAUCAUUUAGGUGACGGGUCGAGCAAAACGUCCCAUAAAUCUAGACUCGGAAUUGCACGGGGGUUUUUUUCUGUACUAGAGGGCGGACAAACAGGAUAUUUCUGUUUUCUAGAAAUCGCAGGAGAAGGUGAACACCAUCAAUGUGUUAGCCUCUUGCAGGCAUGAACGGCCUGUGUGUGGUUUGUGCAAUUUGGUUCUCUUUGGAGAUGCAAAUCUUAAGUCUUAAUCUUACCGUUUACAGAGUUUCAGUCAUUUUCUGAAACGACUAAAAAAAACAAGAAGUGAAAUUAGAUUUGUUAGGGUCAAUUUGCUGUGGCAGAUUUGGUGGACUAGUAAGUGUUCACGGCAGCGUUACGGUCUCAGCGGGACUGACCCAGUUCAGCAUUAUACCUUACUCAUGUUUUUAAUGGAUUUUGGAAAGCAGUAGUGACUGGUCUCAAAUCUCGAUAAUCAGUUUACUGUCUAAGUAAAUUUACAUUAGCAUAAAAUGUGGAAAUCCCUUUGGGUGUCCUCCAGGUCCGUUUAAUGGAAACCUCAUCAUUACGAGCAGGGGUGGGGAAUUAA
rnacentral:lncRNA from 1 species